rnacentral:rRNA from 1 species
UACGGAGGGUGCAAGCAUUAAUCGGAUUUACUGGGCGUAAAGGGUGCGUAGGCGGAUUGGCAAGUCAGACGUGAAAUUCCGGUACUUAAUACCGGAGCUGCGUUUGAAACUACCUUUCUGGAGGUCAGACGGAGGGAACGGAAUUCCAUGUGUAGCGGUGAAAUGCGUAGAUAUAUGGAAGAACACCUGUGGCGAAAGCGGUUCUCUAGUUUGAUACUGACGCUGAUGCACGAGAGCGCGGGGAGCAAACAGG